ensembl:lncRNA LINC02532 long intergenic non-protein coding RNA 2532
CUCUGUAUGCAGAAUAUUGUGCAACAUGGUUAUGGGUACUACAGUGGAUGUGAGUGUGUAGACCUUGUACAAUAGAGCUUAUAGGCUAAUGAGAAGACAGGAAGAAACAACAGGAACACAUAUAGCUGGAAUGCAGAUGGGAUCUGUGCUACUUACGCUAGCCAUGGGAUGAUUAGAACAAGAUAAGAGACAUGAGGAAGACUUCUUCAAGGAGGUGCUCAAGCCAUGUUUUGGAAAAGAGAACUCAAGGUCUGGCAGGGAGAAAGGAGCAAGGUCCCCAAGCAUGCUAACCAUGAAGCAGUGAUAUCGCACAGCACCUGCUUCCAGCAGCCCGGAGCCAAGGGGCAAAAUGGAAAGAGUCAGCAUUUCUCUUUUAGGUUCUCUGCCUCUCUAGUGUGUCCUCUUCUCCCUGAAGGCUGUCACAGUUCCUGUGCAGAGAGAGAGGGCACUGCAGCACCCAGGCGCUGACUGCCUUUUGUCAGUCUCAUUUGCAGGCCCCCAGCUGGAGAACCCAGGAGGAAGAGGAAAAAAGUUUUUUCCUCCUCUACACUCCCCAUGCAUGACUAAAGAGUAGGAGGAGUCAGCAAGGUAUGUGACCCCAACUGCAAGCAGAAACAGCAAUGAAAGGACUGAUGAUCAAACAGGGACCAAGCUACAUUUCUGCAGCUAUGGUCAGUGUGUAUCUGGCUUGUUUGAUGCCCAGAAUGAAUUGAUUUUUGUCGAUCUUCAUCUAUACAACAAAAUUAUCUUCAGUAAUAAUCAUAAAAAUGGAAUAGAUAAUAACAAUGUCCAGGAAAAAAAGAGUCAGUAAAUUUUAAAAAUUGAACUUCAUAUAUACUGUUAUGCCAGAAAAAAAGAAAAAAGAAGUGAAAUAAAUAUUAUAGUAAAAUAAAAAGAAAUAGAUUAAAUAUUUUAUAACAUUAAUACGACUUUUGAAAACAGGGAAGACUUAAACCUACAUGUUUGUUGUAGUAUGAGAUGAUAAAAUUACAGUUUAUAACAAAUAAUAAUAAAGAAAAUUUCAAACUAAAAAUAUAUUAUGGCUGGGCAUGGUGGCUCACACCUGUAAUCCCAGCACUUUGGGAGUGUGAGGUGGGCAGAUCACCUGAGGUCAGGAGUUCAAGACCAGCCUGGCCAACAUGGUGAAACCCCGUCUCUACUAAAAAUACAAAAAGAUUAGCUGGGCGUAGUAAUGGGCGCCUGUAAUCCCAGUUACUCAGGAGGCUGAGGCACGAGAAUCUCUGGAACCUGGGAGGCAGAGGUUGCAGUGAGCUGAGAUGGCACCAUUGCACUCCAGCCUGGGCAACAAGAAAGAAACACCGUCUCAAAAAAAAAAAAAAGAACAAAAA